AAUAUUGGACAAUGGGCGAAAGCCUGAUCCAGCAACGCCGCGUGAGGGAUGACGGCCUUCGGGUUGUAAACCUCUUUCAGUAGGGACGAAGCUAACGUGACGGUACCUACAGAAGAAGUACCGGCCAACUACGUGCCAGCAGCCGCGGUAAUACGUAGGGUGCGAGCGUUGUCCGGAAUUAUUGGGCGUAAAGGGCUCGUAGGCGGUUUGUCACGUCGGGAGUGAAAACUCGGGGCUUAACUCCGAGCCUGCUUCCGAUACGGGCUGACUAGAGGUAUGCAGGGGAGAACGGAAUUCCUGGUGUAGCGGUGAAAUGCGCAGAUAUCAGGAGGAACACCGGUGGCGAAGGCGGUUCUCUGGGCAUUACCUGACGCUGAGGAGCGAAAGCGUGGGGAGCGAACAGGAUUAGAUACCCUGGUAGUCCACGCCGUAAACGGUGGGCACUAGGUGUGGGGACCAUUCCACGGUCUCUGCGCCGCAGCUAACGCAUUAAGUGCCCCGCCUGGGGAGUACGGCCGCAAGGCUA
rnacentral:rRNA from 1 species